CUGACUCAAGUUGUUUCCUGUUCAAAUUAAAAAUAGUGAAAGCAAAUCAAGUAGCAUUAGCAAUAUACUAACACACCCUGGGUCUGACAUGUGAGUCAAGACACAGAAGCAGAGAAGCUUACAUGGAUGCUCAGAAGAUCUGUUCAUGCUCCAUGUACCAAAAGUUUGGAAUGUUUC
rnacentral:lncRNA from 12 species